UGCACCAGGUGACUGUGCGGGGGGAGCAGGUCAGCCCUCCGCCGCGGAGCCGGAGGCGCCUGGUCACUUGUCCCUCGCGCGGCGCCGUCUGCGCAGCUCUCGGUGGGGUCGAAGGAGGCCGCGGGCUUUGCGGUUCCACUUCUGGUUCCGGUUCCGGUUGGAGCUCACCUGCGGCGAGGGCGGGUGGCCAUGGCGUACUCCACCGUGCAGAGGGUGGCCCUGGCCUCGGGGCUCGUCCUGGCUGUGUCGUUGCUUCUGCCCAAGGCCUUUUUGUCCCGCGGAAAGCGGCAGGAACCACCGCCGCUCACCGAAGGGAAGUUGGGUCGAUUUCCACCUAUGAUGCAUCAUCACCAGGCCCCCUCAGAUGGCCAGACCUCUGGGGCUCGCUUCCAGAGGUCUCACCUUGCGGAGACCUUUGCAAAGGCUAAAGGACCAGGUGGAGGCACUGGAGGAGGAGGUAGUGGAAGAGGCCUGAUGGGGCAGAUUAUUCCAAUCUACGGUUUUGGGAUUUUUUUAUAUAUACUAUACAUUUUAUUUAAGCUCUCAAAGGGGAAAAGUACUGCAGAGGAUCGCAAGUGCUCUACUGCCACACCUGGAAGCACCCACAGGAAAAUUACCAAUUUUGAGCUUGUUCAACUACAAGAAAAACUGAAGGAGACAGAGGAAGCCAUGGAAAAACUAAUCAACAGAGUGGGGCCUAAUGGUGAGAGCAGAGCACAGGCCGUGACUUCUGACCAAGAAAAACGAUUGCUGCAUCAGCUCCGAGAAAUCACCAGGGUCAUGAAAGAAGGAAAAUUCAUUGACAGACCCACUCCAGAGAAAGAAGCUGAGGAGGCACCUUACAUGGAGGACUGGGAAGGUUACCCGGAAGAGACCUAUCCAAUUUAUGACCUUUCAGAUUGCAUCAAGCGUAGGCAAGAAACAAUCCUGGUGGAUUACCCUGACCCAGAAGAGCCCUCUGCCGAGGAAAUAGCUGAAAGAAUGGGAGUGAUAGAAGAAGAAGGAUCAGGCCAUUUGGGGUGGGAAAUGCCUACUGACCCCAGAGCUCAGGAAGAUAAUUCUGUUACCUCAUGUGACCCAGAGGCAGAAACAUGUUCCCGCUGUUUUCAUGAAGAAGAGGAUCCCGCUGUCGUGGCAGAGAAUGCUGGAUUUGGUGCAGACAGUUACCGUGAGCAAGAGGAGACCACCGAAGAAAUGUGGCCCCGCGACUUGAGAGAUGAAGGGCCAGGCGUCAGUGCUGAUAGAGCAGAGGCAGGGGGCAUGCUGAGGAAGCGGGACCCCCACCGUUUAGAGUACAGACAGCCAGUUUGGUGAGGUGCCCAUUACUCUAGUCCAAGGUGACCUUUCUCUCCUCUCUGAUUUCAACCUUGGCCCUGUGCCCUGUGUUUCAUUCUCUGUGUUUAAAUAUCAUAGACAGGCCACUGCCAUGGAUAUCAUGUGUCCUUCCUGGUGCUUACACACCUGUCACCUGUAAAACAUCACAGUAAUCAGUAUGAACACAAGACAGCUUCCCUCUCUCUCUUCCUGCCUUUCCUCCAUCAGAGAGUUGAUCCACUGAGUAAUUUUCUAUCUAUUGUGAUUACAGAUGGGACCACUCAGGGCAGAGGUCUGACUCUUCGUGUUAGGAGUAACAGAUGGUUUACCUGUGAACAAACAUCAGAUUAUACAUGAUGAGGACUUAAGGUUGUAAGAGUGAAGAUUUCAGAGUCCAAAAUACCUUAUUCUGUGGGCCUUGAGCAGGUUAGUAGUCCGCUGAGCUCAAGAAGAAAACCUUCUGUUAGUGGGGAUGGUGGGGCCAGAGCAGGGUAAGACUCUGCUGUCUGAACUGAAGCCCCUUUCUCACAGCAAGGCCCUUUUUAGGGGCACCCAGGCUGCCUCAGAUCUCCACUUUUCUCCAGAGUAGAAGACUCCCACUGACCUGAGAAUGAACCUAGAGGCUUAUUGGGGGAUGGUUUUGCUCUACUAUUGCCUGGAUCUCUAGCUUCCUUUAUCCCUGUUCUGCUUAACAGAACUGCCAAAUGCAUAAGUACCUUUGUACCUCUGGUCUUCAGUGGCCAGAGGAAACUUGAGUUAGAGACUUUAGUCCUUGCCCUGCAGAGCCAAGGUUUGAGGCUUCAGGAAAGCCUGCCGAAGGGUGGUGGUCCUGCCGUGAGAUGCUCAGAAGGCCAGGGAGCCGGUGAUGGGGAGAGAACCCAUGCGCUUAUAGGCAGUCCUUGCUUAGAUGCUGUUUCUGAAUGUUGUACCCUCUGGGAAGUUUGUUCUCACAACAAAUUCAAUUGAAACAGAAGCGAGGAGGACUGAGCCUAUAGACCAAGUGCCAGCCCAGCAGGGAAGCUGCAGGGACCCAAUGCAGCAGUGCCCGGGAAGAGACCAUUUGGAAGAGACCAUUUGUUCCAUAUGUGGAUGUCUGAGUCUGUUGAGAAAGCUGGGCAAAGUAGGAGGUCGGUUAGGACUGGGAGGACUGUGACCAAACCAAAAGCCUAUCUCUGAGCUGCGAUCUGUCACGCGUCUCCUUGAGUAGUUCCCUGCAAAUGUUAUUUCCCAGAGGCAGAGCCAAGGAGAGAGGCCACAGUUAAGGUAGGAAAUGCUGUCGACCACAAAAAACUCCAAAUCUGGGGUAAUAAACCAACCCUACUUACUACCACACUCUUAAGAUUCCCUCAACCCAGACUAUUUAGGUACCAAAGGAGAAUCUAAUACUUCAGCUACCCAGCAAUGAGAAAAACGUGAAGUAUCACAGACUUUGCCUUGACCAUUUUCACACAAGUGUUUCUAAAAUGUACCUAACCUUGUUUUUCCUUUCCCAUUUUCUUAUACAAAGUAAAUAGGCCAAAUUUCUCCUUUUUCUUGAUUACUCCUUAACUUCUCGAAGCACCAGUUUCCUCACUUAUGCACUGGGAAUAAUCCCCCCUCACAAUGCUGUGUGUAGUGUCUGUCCAGGGUGUAGCCUGUGCUAGGUGCUCACGCCAGUGCCAUCAACAGCAUCACACUCUGUCAUCAGGUCCUGUGCUGCUGGGCUGUCGCCCUUGACACCCUCCAAGGCUACCCUGACUGCUGGGAAUGGCCCAGAGCACAGGUCCUGCAAUCUCUGGGUGACUUCAGUUUUGACCUCCCUCAGGAUCAGACCCAUAGCCUUCCUGUCUGCUUCCAGCCACAACUGCAGCCUCCCUUGCUGUUGGCUUCAGAUCUGCCACAGGCCGAAAAGAAAAUUCCCAAGUGUGUAGUGUGUCCAGGUCCUGUUUAAACAGGUUAGGCUGCUCUGCAUAGGGCUAGAGGAACCCAGUGGCUGGGUCUUCAUGUUAUUUCUACCACUUGGGCCUUUCUCACCUUUUUUCAGCUCUAUGGCCCUGUUUUUGUUUGUACGGGGCAGGCCCACAGGGGUUUACUUAGGAAGCAGCAGCCCAUUCUUCCAGCUGGCACAGCUGACCCUGCAGAGGAUGCUCUAACUUAAGUACCUUCUGUCCUUACCCUUCUUCUAGCCCAUCCAGCCUCUGCGUGUGUGGUUCUGACCAUCCUUAAACUUGACGAGCACGGCCAGAGGGAAGACAGUUUCCACCCAUAUGUGAUGGUUUCUAAACAAGCUAUGAUCCCCUUGUUAUCACCACCUCCUGCCCACCCCUGAGGCUCUUAGGACAGAAGGA